UACGUAGGGCGCAAGCGUUGUCCGGAAUCAUUGGGCGUAAAGCGCGCGUAGGCGGCCCGAUAAGUCCGCUGUGAAAGUCAACGGCUCAACUGUUGGAUGCCGGUGGAUACUGUCGGGCUAGAGUACGGAAGAGGCAAGUGGAAUUCCUGGUGUAGCGGUGGAAUGCGCAGAUAUCAGGAGGAACACCUAUAGCGAAGGCAGCUUGCUGGGACGUUACUGACGCUAAGGCGCGAAAGCGUGGGGAGCGAACAGG
rnacentral:rRNA from 1 species